rnacentral:misc_RNA from 1 species
GUGAAUCAUCAAAUCUUUGAACGCAAAUUGCACUCUCCGGUUUUCCGGGAGAGUAUGCCUGUUUGAGGGUCUGUUUAAAAAAUAAUCGAGGCUGCUGCUGUGGUGGCGCUUCGGAAUUGGGUCAUCUUCCACCUUUCGGGGUUGUAAGCGACCUAAAAUUUUUUUACGAUUCCACGAACGUUUCUAAGAUUUUCUUGUACGUUCAAGGUAUAUCGAGUGUUUUUAUUAGACGUGGCCGUAAUAUCGGAUCAUGUCCAUAAUUUUUUUCGUUAACUGACCUCAGACAGGUAAGAGUACCCG